ensembl:lncRNA
CCUGCAGCCUGGCACAGCCACAGACACUCGCCGUGGGCUCCCCGCGCUCGCUGCACGCAGGCCGGGGACGGGAUGGACGCGGGGCGCGGGGGCACGCCAAACGUAAAACACCUGCGCGAGGAACAGUGUCCCACCAAGUGCCAGGAGCACUCUCCCCUUGCUGCUCUGAAAACGCUGGACAUGGUACAUGAACAGGAAGCAGACUUAAUCCAGGACGAUGCGGAGAAUUAAUCUGAUAACCAUUGAGAAAGAGAUUGACAUGACAUUCAACUCCAAAAAUGACUGCAUCAGAGGUUCCAUGAUACAUUUUCAGUGCCUCACCGAUCAAGAGGCUGGUGAUUGAAAUCUCUGGGACAGUGUCAGCAAGGAACCCAUCCCUUGCUGUUUCACAAAAGCCAACAUCCCAGUAAUGACUGUUUCUUCUUGUAACAAAAAAGACAGUAAAAUCAAAGGGGAAAUAUUCAAAGUACAGCGAAAAGAAUUGGCAUCAGAAAAGACGACGAGUUGACUGGAGGAAAGUAGGAAAAGAUUUUUGAAGUUCUCCAC